rnacentral:rRNA from 1 species
AUGCAAGUCGGACGGCAGCACAGAGAAGCUUGCUUCUUGGGUGGCGAGUGGCGAACGGGUGAGUAACAUAUCGGAACGUACCGAGUAGUGGGGGAUAACUGAUCGAAAGAUCAGCUAAUACCGCAUACGUCUUGAGAGAGAAAGCAGGGGACCUUCGGGCCUUGCGCUAUUCGAGCGGCCGAUAUCUGAUUAGCUAGUUGGUGGGGUAAAGGCCUACCAAGGCGACGAUCAGUAGCGGGUCUGAGAGGAUGAUCCGCCACACUGGGACUGAGACACGGCCCAGACUCCUACGGGAGGCAGCAGUGGGGAAUUUUGGACAAUGGGCGCAAGCCUGAUCCAGCCAUGCCGCGUGUCUGAAGAAGGCCUUCGGGUUGUAAAGGACUUUUGUCAGGGAAGAAAAGGCUGUUGCUAAUACCAGCGGCUGAUGACGGUACCUGAAGAAUAAGCACCGGCUAACUACGUGCCAGCAGCCGCGGUAAUACGUAGGGUGCGAGCGUUAAUCGGAAUUACUGGGCGUAAAGCGGGCGCAGACGGUUACUUAAGCAGGAUGUGAAAUCCCCGGGCUCAACCCGGGAACUGCGUUCUGAACUGGGUGACUCGAGUGUGUCAGAGGGAGGUAGAAUUCCACGUGUAGCAGUGAAAUGCGUAGAGAUGUGGAGGAAUACCGAUGGCGAAGGCAGCCUCCUGGGAUAACACUGACGUUCAUGCCCGAAAGCGUGGGUAGCAAACAGGAUUAGAUACCCUGGUAGUCCACGCCCUAAACGAUGUCAAUUAGCUGUUGGGCAACUUGAUUGCUUGGUAGCGUAGCUAACGCGUGAAAUUGACCGCCUGGGGAGUACGGUCGCAAGAUUAAAACUCAAAGGAAUUGACGGGGACCCGCACAAGCGGGUGGGAUGAUGUGGAAUUAAUUCGAUGCAACGCGGAAGAACCCUUACCCUGGUCUUGACAUGUACGGGAAAUCCUCCAGAG